UACGGAGGGUGCGAGCGUUGUCCGGAAUCACUGGGCGUAAAGGGCGCGUAGGUGGCCUGAUGAGUCAACGGUGAAAGCUCGACGCUCAACGUCGAGUCGGCCGUCGAUACUGUUGGGCUGGAGCACUGUAGAGGCUCAUGGAAUUCCGGGUGUAGCGGUGGAAUGCGUAGAGAUCCGGAAGAACACCGGUGGCGAAGGCGGUGAGCUGGGCAGUUGCUGACACUGAGGCGCGACAGCGUGGGGAGCAAACAGG
rnacentral:rRNA from 1 species